GUGGCUGUCUGCCGGUGUGUGUGUCUGUCUGUCUGCGUGUGUGUGUGACUGUCUGCAUGUAAGUAUGUGUGUGUAAGACUGUAUGUGUGACUGUAUGUGUUGGGCUGUGUGCGGCUGUCUGUCUCUGUGUGUGUAUGGCUGUCUGCCUCUGUGUGUGUGUAUGGCUGUCUGCCUGUGUGUGUGUGUGUGGCUGUCUGCCUGUGUGUUUGUGUGUGGCUGCCUGUGUGUGGCUGCCUGACUGUGUGUGUGUGGCUGUCUGCCUGUGUGUGUAUGUCUUUGUGGCUGUCUGUCU